rnacentral:rRNA from 1 species
UACAGAGGUCCCAAGCGUUGUUCGGAUUCACUGGGCGUAAAGGGUGCGUAGGCGGUCGGGUAAGUCUGGCGUGAAAUCUCCAAGCCUAACUUGGAAACUGCGUUGGAUACUAUCCGGCUCGAGGAAUGGAGGGGAGACUGGAAUACUUGGUGUAGCAGUGAAGUGCGUAGAGAUCGGGAGGAACACCAGUGGCGAAGGCGGCCUUCUGGACCAAUACUGACGCUCAUGCACGAAAGCGUGGGGAGCAAACAGG